CACGUAGGGGGCGAGCGUUGUCCGGAUUUAUUGGGCGUAAAGAGCUCGUAGGCGGCUCGGUAAGUCAGGUGUGAAAACUCUAGGCUCAACCUAGAGACGCCACCUGAUACUGCUGUGGCUAGAGUCCGGUAGGGGAGCAUGGAAUUCCUGGUGUAGCGGUUAAAUGCGCAGAUAUCAGGAGGAACACCAGUGGCGAAGGCGGUGCUCUGGGCCAGAACUGACGCUGAGGAGCGAAAGCGUGGGGAGCAAACAGG
rnacentral:rRNA from 1 species